UUUCUUAAAUAUUAUUUAAUAGACAACCCGCCUGGACGAUCUUACAAGUGUUAUGUUGAAACAAGUACAACAGAAUUUGAGGUUUAUCGAAGAAACAUUCGGUAGUUAUUUUGAAACUAUUCUUCGCUCUCAGCCCUUAACUUGGUUGGUCUCCGGCAAGGAUAGUACCUCUAACGUCACGACUUCGGAGGUAACGCAAGA